CCUGAUUCUUGUCUGUGAGUUCUUCUGCUAAUUGAGUCACAUAACUGAGACAACGCUCCUAACUGUACUUUUUGAUCUCCGAUUGCCUGCUGUAACAUAGUUUGAUAGACUUUCUGGCUAUCCAGUAGCUCCUGCAUUAGUUUCAUGUUUUCAGUCUUUAGAGCUCCCAUCUGAUCCUGAUAUUCUCGCCAAUAUUUAUUGUCGAGGGAGUCGUGAGUUUUAUGUGAUUUAACAGAAUUAACUGUCGAUACACCUGAUGUCGAACCUUCUUCCGGACCAUCGACACCUGAUUGACCUCGCUCGUGACCCAGCAAAUUUGCACCAAGUUCUGAGGGAUAGAAAAUCAAGGAACUUCAAUAUUUUUAGAGUUGACAUGUUAAUAUACUGAAUGCAAACAUGUGAUGUUAAACAUGCGGCAUAUGUUACAUUUACGGCAAACACGUGUGUCUGUACGUACAUAUGAUUUCAUAAGUGUGCUUGGUAUACUCAACCCAACUUGCUUAAGCAGAGCCAAAUUAGCUCGAGCGUGGUAAAUACCGCUAUUUUUAUAUUAAAUGUGAUGAAAGAUGAGCAUCAUGUGAAUACCAAGAUGCAAUGGAUUAUGAACAAACAUCUUAUGAUUUAUAAUUUCAUACAAAUAUCUGAUCUCAGAAAACUCACAGAUAAUUCAUACAAUAUUUGAAAAUAUUUGAGUUUAAACUCACCAGGAGAUAGAACAGUAAUAGCAGCCUGAACAGCGUUCCUGACUAGAUUAUCUAGAGCAAACAUCCAAUGUGGUUUAAUGCUGUGGAGUCUGAGAACCUCGUUAACAGCAGUUUGAAACAGGUAAAGAGCCAAAUGGAGUUGAUUGAUGGCAGUUGAAUCAAAGUCUAAAUCUUCUUUCAAUGUCCGAAUCGCUGAAGUGAGGACGCUUUGAUUUGGUUCAGAGAUAUAAUCUCUGAGACCGCGCAUCAGUAGUUCUAAAUGAUUCUGGAAUAAAAUCAUGUAAAUAGGCGCACACUUAUGGUUUUCCUUCAGCUCUUGAAGUGUAGCUUCAUAAGUGUAUAAGUAUGAAAAUAAACUUUACCAUAUGCAAAACGGUCUGACCAACGUCUUGAUAUAUACUGCUUAUCCAAACUUGACAUAUUUUUGCUUCAUCUUGACUCAAAACCCUAGUUAAAGUCAUACGGCGCUGACUAUCUUUUUUCAAUAAAUAAAAGCCUUCCUGUUCUUCGCCUACUUUAUGCCCAGGCUGACC
rnacentral:misc_RNA from 1 species